GAAAAUCAUCCAAUCUGGAAAACAGGGCAUCUGUCAGCAGGUUUGUAUCUACGACACUGGCUGACCUGUUACAUGUGCGCUUGCCAUCUGAAGACAUCUGUGCUGGUCCGAUGUUCAUCUGUGCCCGCAUUGCUGAGAAAAUGAUAAGAUGCAAAUGAGCCUCUAGGAGCAACGGGGGCGUUGACAUUACACCUAGAGGCUCUGU